rnacentral:lncRNA from 1 species
ACCGCUCUCCAAGGACUCUCGAGCAGCUCCAUCUACAGAUUCACAUGGAGAAGAAUUAAGGGUUCCUGCCAAUCACCAGCACCACUUUGCCAGCCUUGUAAGUGGGCCACCUUGGAAUUGGAGCCUCCAGUUCCUACUGACAUCUGACUGCAACAUCAUGAGAGACCCUGAGUUUGAACCACCCAGCUGAGCUGCUUCUGAGCUAACCCACUGAAACCGUGAAAGUACCUGAAUGAAACAACACCCAGUAGCCACUAGCACACCUAGCUCCCAGAUCUGUUUUUGAUGCCAUUCUUCAGUAAAAGGAAGCAAGGCUGCUUGGAGAAAUUGCUAUCAAGGACUGGGGUAGAAAAUAUACAAGAUGAAAUUGGAGCAUCUUGUAGUGCUUGAAAACAGUUGGCAUCUGUGUGAAGAUGUGAAUGGAGGAGGCAGAGUAGGCAGUGAGUGCCGCAGCCACAGCUUGUGUUCUCUGCAGCCCUGGCACAGAAGAUAGGAACACUCAUGGGGGAUGCGGCCACUGUGAUGUCUUCCCACACAAGAAGUGCCAAGUGCUUUUCUCAUGCUUUUCUGGAUUGUCCCAUGGUGGACGAGUCAGCAGGAGUGAGAUGGAGCAGCACAGUAGAGGGGCCAGGAUAUCGUUGUACAUAUUCUCAGCUAAGUGAGCACCAAUAGAGGAGAGGGAGAGUCUCAUGGAAGUUCCUUCUAAGCCUUUGGCUCUUUUUACCUUCAACAAGGUUCCUUAGAUCCUGGGAUGAGGAGGUGGACCAGCAGAAGGUGGGCUUGUGAAGGCAGCCCGGGGUCCAAAUCCUCCUGGCUCUUCAGCUUAGCGGGGUUGCUUAGACUCAGUGGUGUGCUGGAGCAGGCUCCUACCAGCUAGAAAGAACCAGUUCAAUACGUCUCUUCUCAACUCCAUGUUCAGAGUUGUCAGAGAACCAAUUGUUAAAUAUUUACUGGCACUCCA